rnacentral:rRNA from 1 species
UACAGAGGGUGCAAGCGUUAAUCGGAAUUACUGGGCGUAAAGAGCUCGUAGGCGGCUUGUCGCGUCGACUGUGAAAACCCGCGGCUCAACUGCGGGCUUGCAGCCGAUACGGGCAGGCUAGAGUUCGGUAGGGGAGACUGGAAUUCCCGGUGGAGCGGUGAAAUGCGUUGAUAUCGGGAGGAACUCCGGCGGCGAAAGCGGUGCACUGGUGGAUUUCUGACGCUGAGGUGCGAAAGCCAGGGGAGCAAACGGG